rnacentral:rRNA from 1 species
ACGCUCGACACCUACGGGAGACAGCAGUGGGGAAUAUUGCACAAUGGAGGAAACUCUGAUGCAGCGAUGCCGCGUGAGGGAAGAAGGUUUUCGGAUUGUAAACCUCUGUCUUUGGGGACGAUAAUGACGGUACCCAAGGAGGGAGCUCCGGCUAACUACGUGCUAGCAGCCGCGGUAAUCUGAGCGGGCUGGCAAGGC